CAAGGCUUGACAUACACCGGAAAACCGUAGAGAUACGGUCCCCCUUGUGGUCGGUGUACAGGUGGUGCAUGGUUGUCGUCAGCUCGUGUCGUGAGAUGUUGGGUUAAGUCCCGCAACAAGCGCAACCCUCGUUCUGUGUUGCCAGCGGGUUAUGCCGGGGACUCACAGGAGACUGCCGGGGUCAACUCGGAGGAAGGUGGGGAUGACGUCAAAUCAUCAUGCCCCUUAUGUCUUGGGCUGCACACGUGCUACAAUGGCCGGUACAAAGAGCUGCGAUGCCGUGAGGCGGAGCGAAUCUCAAAAAGCCGGUCUCAGUUCGGAUUGGGGUCUGCAACUCGACCCCAUGAAGUCGGAGUUGCUAGUAAUCGCAGAUCAGCAUUGCUGCGGUGAAUA
rnacentral:rRNA from 1 species